rnacentral:rRNA from 1 species
UACGUAGGGGGCAAGCGUUGUCCGGAUUUAUUGGGCGUAAAGAGCGUGUAGGCGGCCUUACAGGUCAGCUGUGAAAACUCGAGGCUCAACCUCGAGACGUCGGUUGAAACCCUCUGGCUAGAGUCCGGAAGAGGAGAGUGGAAUUCCUGGUGUAGCGGUGAAAUGCGCAGAUAUCGGGAAGAACGACCCGUGGCGAAGGCGGUUCUCUGGGACGGUACUGACGCUGAGACGCGAAAGCGUGGGGAGCGAACAGG